GAUCCUGGCUCAGGAUGAACGCUAGCGGCAGGCUUAACACAUGCAAGUCGAGGGGUAGAAGUCUUCGGACUUUGAGACCGGCGCACGGGUGCGUAACGCGUAUGCAAUCUACCUUUUACAGAGGGAUAGCCCAGAGAAAUUUGGAUUAAUACCUCAUAGUAUAAUGACUCGGCAUCGAGAUAUUAUUAAAGUCACAACGGUAAAAGAUGAGCAUGCGUCCCAUUAGCUAGUUGGUAAGGUAACGGCUUACCAAGGCUACGAUGGGUAGGGGUCCUGAGAGGGAGAUCCCCCACACUGGUACUGAGACACGGACCAGACUCCUACGGGAGGCAGCAGUGAGGAAUAUUGGACAAUGGGCGCAAGCCUGAUCCAGCCAUGCCGCGUGCAGGAUGACGGUCCUAUGGAUUGUAAACUGCUUUUAUACGAGAAGAAACACUC
rnacentral:rRNA from 1 species